CAGUCUUUGAAAAGCGAUAAUUUUUACGGAAAAGCGAUAAUUGAAAAGCGAUAAUUUUCACAUGUGAAAUUAUCAUAAAUAAUCUCUAAAUAAUCUAGCGGACUAGGCCUUAUACAUUUCAAACAGUGGCGGAAACUAGGGGGGGGGGCGAGGGGGAGUGAUCCCCCCCCCCAAAAAAAAAAAAAAAUUACUAAAAUUAUAUUUUAGCUAGAUUUCAUAAUUCAAUUUGAAAAAUGAAAGCACAACAUAAGGAUGCACUAUUUGUUACAAUAACAACAGCAACGAAAUGGUAAGUUUUAAUAGAAACAAGCUAAAAACAAGCUAAAGUAUUCUAAAUUUAUGAUCUCACAAGUCACACAAUGAGUGUUAUGCAUUCUGAAAAAAGUCAGAUUAAAUUAGUUUUAAGCGCUAGCUGCGCUACAAGUCUUUACUUAAACUGUACUAUUCGGGAUUUUUGAUUUACCCAUCGAUCAAGCACUUUGUCCAAGUUUAUCCUUUUUAACAGGUUUUUAUUCAUGGAUAGCAACAUAAAGUCACUGGCCAACGCUAAUGCAUGCACGCUUCAAACUUGUCAAAGCCAAAGCUGACAUUUUAAACGAAAACAAAAGCGUGAAAAGGUUUGACAAAGUCUGUGCCGACUUGGGGCAAAUCGGGGGGCGAAACGAUUUGUAUUCAUUACGAGCACAGCUCACUAUCCGAUUCAUAACACUGAAGCUUCUUUCCACGGUUGCAGUAACAAUUGGCAAGGUCUUUGAUAUGGCGAUCACCUUGAAUAAGUUGGGGGUACAGCUCAGCGCCGAUGUUCUUUCCAGCAAGCAAUUAGAAUCUUCGCCCGUUCGCACUCGGUUUUAAACAAGGCAGAGUCAAUAUGGAGACAAUACCAAUGAAUGUAACCUUAGGCGAGACUUUUUUAUUUAUUGGUUUGCGGAUUUUACUUGAAAAAAACCAGGUCGGUAGGUCGG